rnacentral:rRNA from 1 species
AGCAGCCGCGGUAAUUCCAGCUCCAAUAGCGUAUAUUAAAGUUGUUGCAGUUAAAAAGCUCGUAGUUGAAUUUCGGGGUCAGUAGGUUGGUCAUGCCUCCGGUAUGUACUGGUCUCACUGAUUCCUCCUUCCUGAUGAACCGUAAUGCCAUUAAUUUGGUGUUGCGGGGAGACUGGACUGUUACUUUGAAAAAAUUAGAGUGUUUAAAGCAGGCUAACGCUUGAAUACAUUAGCAUGGAAUAAUGAAAUAGGACGUUCGAUCCUAUUUUGUUGGUUUUCUAGGAUUGACGUAAUGAUUAAUAGGGAUAGUUGGGGGCAUUAGUAUUCAAUUGUCAGAGGUGAAAUUCUUGGAUUUAUUGAAGACUAACUACUGCGAAAGCAUUUGCCAAGGAUGUUUUCAUUAAUCAAGAACGAAGUUAGGGGAUCGAAGACGAUCAGAUACCGUCGUAG